rnacentral:rRNA from 1 species
AGAUUGAACGCUGGCGGCAUGCUUUACACAUGCAAGUCGGACGGCAGCACAGAGAAGCUUGCUUCUUGGGUGGCGAGUGGCGAACGGGUGAGUAAUAUAUCGGAACGUACCGAGUAAGUGGGGGAUAACUAAUCGAAAGAUUAGCUAAUACCGCAUAUUCUCUGAGGAGGAAAGCAGGGGACCUUCGGCCUUGCGUUAUUCGAGCGGCGAUAUCUGAUUAGCUAGUGGUGGGGUAAGCCUACGAAGGCGACGAUCAGUAGCGGGUCUGAGAGGAUGAUCCGGCCACACGUGGGACUGAGACACGGCCAGACUCCGACGGGAGCAGCAGUAGGGGG